rnacentral:rRNA from 1 species
ACGAACGCUGGCGGCGUGCUUAACACAUGCAAGUCGAACGGAAAGGCCCUGCUUUUGUGGGGUGCUCGAGUGGCGAACGGGUGAGUAACACGUGAGUAACCUGCCCUUGACUUUGGGAUAACUUCAGGAAACUGGGGCUAAUACCGGAUAGGAGCUCCUGCUGCAUGGUGGGGGUUGGAAAGUUUCGGCGGUUGGGGAUGGACUCGCGGCUUAUCAGCUUGUUGGUGGGGUAGUGGCUUACCAAGGCUUUGACGGGUAGCCGGCCUGAGAGGGUGACCGGCCGCCUUGGGACUGAGAUACGGCCCAGACUCCUCCGGGAGGCAGCAGUGGGGAAUAUUGCACACUGGGCGGAAGCCUGAUGCAGCCACGCCGCGUGCGGGAUGACGGCCUUCGGGUUGUAAACCGCUUUCGCCUGUGACGAAGCGUGAGUGACGGUAAUGGGUAAAGAAGCACCGGCUAACUACGUG